CCUGAACCCAGGAGGCGGAGGUUGCGAUGAGCCAAGAUCGCACCAUUGCACUCCAGCCUGGGUAACAAGAGCGAAACUCCGUCUCAAAAAAAAAAAAAAAAAAGAAUUCUCCCAUGGUCCUCUGUUUGCACUGUGCUUAGGAAGGAGCGUGCAGACCCAUGUGAGUAAUGGUCAAAGCUCUUGUCUUGGUGGUUUGUUGAAGACUAUGUCAUAUAUUAUAAAAUAGUUUUUAAUAGGCCAGGUGUGGUGGCUCACCCCUGUAAUCCCAGCACUUUGGGAGGCUGCGGCGGGUGAAUCACCUGAGGUCAGGAGUUUGAGACCAGCCUGGCCAACAUGGUGAAACCGUGUCUCUACUAAAUAUACAAAAAUCAGCUGGAUAUGGUGGUGGGUGCCUGUAGUCCCAGCUACUUGGGAGGUUGAGGCAGGAGAAUCACUUGAACCCGGGAGGUGAAGGUUGCAGUGAGCUGAGAUUGCACCACCGCCCUCCAGCCUGCGCAACAGAGUGAGACUCCAUCUCAAAACAAAAGUGUGUAAUAUGAAGAUGGCCAGUGUUAUCCCUAUGACAGAUAUGAGAGUUAUAUAAAGUAUUAUAUUGGUAAUGCAUAGAUGAAAACCUGAGGGCAAUUAAUAAAACAGACAUAUCAGUGUUAGAAUGAUUCUGGAUACAGAGAUGGAAUAUCCAGGUUAUUCUUGGGUUUUUUUUUUUUUAAUCAUAGGAACUUAGUAAGUUAACGAGUCAGUCAACAGACAAGAAAGAGUGAGUGGAGACAGAGAUGAUCCGUCCUAGACUGAUGAUGACUGCUGGUGGCAUAUGAGCCUUAUACGAUGAAUAUGUGUCUGGAACUCUGAGGUCCAGCACAAAAGAAAUUGAGCUCAUUCUGGAAGAUGACAAGCACUGAUCAAGGAGGACUGUCUCGUCUGUUUGUGAUCUGCUCUGCUCUGUGAGCCUCGGGAUGGAUGUUCGCCAGCUGAUCCCAUGGUUACAAGCUCUGUGGCUGCAUCUAUGCGUUCGGAGCGUGCAGACCAAUAAUGGAUGCACUGAGCUGAUUUUGAAUUUAGCCCUGAUCAAGAUCCGUGUUGUCCUUACAUGA
rnacentral:lncRNA from 1 species